GAUUUUUCAAUACUAUGAAAUGAUGCAGAGCAAAAAAGGUCCAUCCACUUCACUUGUGUUGCCUCCUGCGUUACCUAAACCACAACAGAACAAUGACAGACAACAGAGCCUUUCUCCUCUCUAACAAUUCAGUCACCAUGACAACCAGCAGAAGAACGUUGGGCCAGAAAAAAGCAUUGAGCUUGAGGGACUAGACUAAUCAAAAAAUGGAAUAACAUGGCAACAAUUACACUGAUGAGUGAGAGGGAAGCUACGGAUGCAUUCAGACACCUAUGGCACCACAGACUCAACGCAUUCAGCAUUUUGUGUUUAGUGUCUUGUGUUUUUGAGAGCAGGCAGAGUCUCAUUCCAUCACCCAGGCUGGAGUGCAGCGGCGUGAUCUUGGCAACCUCCACCUCCCAGGCUCAAGAAAUCCUCCCACCUCAGCCUCCCAAAUAGCUGGAUCUACAGGCGUACACCACCACAAUCAGCUGUAUUUUUUGUAGAGGCUGGGUUUCGCCAUGUUGCCCAGGGUGGUCAAGAACUUGUGAGCUCAAGUGAUCUGCCCGCCUUAGCCUCCCAAAGUGCUGGGAUUACAGGCAUGAGCCACCGCCCCUGGCCUAAUAAAAUUUAUUUUUAAAAAAGGA